AUCCGGUUGACGAGUCCCAAAUAGGACGAAAUACGCUUUGUCCUGGAC
rnacentral:hammerhead_ribozyme from 1 species